ACACAUACAAAAUCUCAUUAGUAAAUUACGCAAGGUGAUUGGCUUCCAGGCCAAAUGACGUAAGGGUGUAUUGUAUGUGGAAUGAUGUCAUUGUUUUGACUCAGCAACAUUUUGGUCAUCCUUAUAAACUGGCGCGCUUAGUGAAUUUUAUUAGUAGCGACACAACAAGUUAUAUACGAAAGAGGUAUUGAAGUUAAAAAGUGGAGUUACCUGAAGAAGACGAAAGAGUUGUGCUCAAUCUGACAGCUAGAAAAGAGGUAAGUUGAACUGGUAUGUUAUAGUUUAAAGAUAAAGAGCAGAGCCCAGCAAAUAACAUUAAAACCAAACAUAAUAAAAGUUAACAUUUUUAUUAGCUAACGUUUCGUUGUUUACAAUACAACAUCUUCAGAGCAAU